UACGUAGGGGGCAAGCGUUGUCCGGAUUUAUUGGGCGUAAAGAGCUCGUAGGCGGCUCGGUAAGUCGGAUGUGAAACCUCCAGGCUCAACCUGGAGACGCCAUCUGAUACUGCCGUGGCUUGAGGCCGGUAGAGGAGCAGGGAAUUCCUGGUGUAGCAGUGAAAUGCGUAGAGAUCAUGAGGAAGACCAGUGGCGAAGGCGGGUCUCUGGACAGUUCCUGACACUGAGGCACGAAGGCCAGGGGAGCAAACGGG
rnacentral:rRNA from 1 species